rnacentral:rRNA from 1 species
GGCAUUCUAGAUAGCCAUGCAUGCCUUCGAUAGAAGAGCAAGUCUCUCUGAAUCUGCGUACGGCUCCGCAAACCAGUUGUAAACCAUAGCUAGCAGGCCUCGGAGACGACCGCAAGGUCGUAGCUGGGGCCAAAAGGAUAUCCAUGGUAAUUCUGAGGCUAAUACUUGACUGUAACCCCUGGCUGACCGGGCAACUGGUAGGCUGGGGGACGUGUACGGCUUCGCACACCAUUAAGGAAUGAAUGCACGUUCAGACCGCUUUUCAACACAGAUAGGGGGUAAUCCUUCGGGAGAUAACCCCUGCCUGAGCGGCUCUAGCACGGUGCUUCUGACCUAUCAACUAGAUGGCAGCGUAACGGACAUGCUAUGGUGACAACGGGUACAGAU